GAACGCUAAUACCGCAUACGUCCUACGGGAGAAAGCAGGGGACCUUCGGGCCUUGCGCUAUCAGAUGAGCCUAGGUCGGAUUAGCUAGUUGGUGGGGUAAUGGCUCACCAAGGCGACGAUCCGUAACUGGUCUGAGAGGAUGAUCAGUCACACUGGAACUGAGACACGGUCCAGACUCCUACGGGAGGCAGCAGUGGGGAAUAUUGGACAAUGGGCGAAAGCCUGAUCCAGCCAUGCCGCGUGUGUGAAGAAGGUCUUCGGAUUGUAAAGCACUUUAAGUUGGGAGGAAGGGCAGUAAGUUAAUACCUUGCUGUUUUGACGUUACCGACAGAAUAAGCACCGGCUAACUCUGUGCCAGCAGCCGCGGUAAUACAGAGGGUGCAAGCGUUAAUCGGAAUUACUGGGCGUAAAGCGCGCGUAGGUGGUUUGUUAAGUUGGAU
rnacentral:rRNA from 1 species